UUUUAUCGAGGAAAAUACACAACGAGGGUCGAGAUAAUUUUGGAGAGCACAGUAUAUAGGUACGAUCUUUACGGAAUGUCAAUACCAGCAUCAGUGUACGCGGUUUAGGAUCCCUUUACGUGUCGUUUAACCUAUGAUUUGAAUCACUUCGGUUUGUACACGGACAAUUUUCUGCCACUCAACGUCAGAUCUGCUUACCUCCGAUGGAAAUCACCGAGAAAAAGGAGAAUAGGGGAAAACCGCCAAAAAGUUGUCAGCAAACUCGAACGCGAACAAAGAGCUGGCUGUCGUUGUAUACCGGUGCCUUUAAACGAUACGCAACGAACUAUGCACUAUAAUUCCGCUUGCGCGACGGUACCGUUUCCAUGGCAAUGCAUCGUCGAUAGGUCUGGCUACACACUACCUAUCUACUGUAUCUUGCUAUUGUCCACCAAGUGCAUUCAAGGUUAUCGUUUCUAAUUAAAUGAAGCUUUCUUAUCUCGCCUUA
rnacentral:misc_RNA from 1 species